rnacentral:rRNA from 1 species
AUUGAACGCUGGCGGAAUGCUUUACACAUGCAAGUCGAACGGCAGCACGGACUUCGGUCUGGUGGCGAGUGGCGAACGGGUGAGUAAUAUAUCGGAACGUGCCCAGUCGUGGGGGAUAACGUAGUGAAAAUUACGCUAAUACCGCAUACGAUCUAUGGAUGAAAGCGGGGGAUCGCAAGGCCUCGCGCGAUUGGAGCGGCCGAUAUCAGAUUAGGUAGUUGGUGAGGUAAAGGCUCACCAAGCCGACGAUCUGUAGCUGGUCUGAGAGGACGACCAGCCACACUGGAACUGAGACACGGUCCAGACUCCUACGGGAGGCAGCAGUGGGGAAUGUUGGACAAUGGACGCAAGUCUGAUCCAGCCAUUCCGCGUGCAGGACGAAGGCCUUCGGGUUGUAAACUGCUUUUGUACAGAACGAAAAGGUCUCUAUUAAUACUAGGGGCUCAUGACGGUACUGUAAGAAUAAGCACCGGCUAACUACGUGCCAGCCGCCGCCGUAA